GAUGAACGCUGGCGGCGUGCCUAAUACAUGCAAGUCGAGCGAACAGAUGAGGAGCUUGCUCCUCUGACGUUAGCGGCGGACGGGUGAGUAACACGUGGAUAACCUACCUAUAAGACUGGGAUAACUUCGGGAAACCGGAGCUAAUACCGGAUAAUAUAUUGAACCGCAUGGUUCAAUAGUGAAAGACGGUUUUGCUGUCACUUAUAGAUGGAUCCGCGCCGCAUUAGCUAGUUGGUAAGGUAACGGCUUACCAAGGCAACGAUGCGUAGCCGACCUGAGAGAGUGAUCGGCCACACUGGAACUGAGACGCGGUCCAGACUCCUACGAGAGGGAGCAGUAGGGAAUCUUCCGCAAUGGUCGAAAGCCUGACGGAGCAACGCCGCGUGUGAGAUGAAGGUCUUCGGAGCGUAAAACUCUGUUAUUAGGGAAGAACAAAUGUGUAAGUAACUAUGCACGUCUUGACGGUACCUAAUCAGAAAGCCACGGCUAACUACGUG
rnacentral:rRNA from 1 species